ncrna:unclassified sequences RT-18 RNA
UGCCCCUUGGCAAAAAUUAGUCGCUCUGGGUUGGCUUAGUAGGUUAAUUCUCGAAAGGUCGGCAGGCAAAUAUAAG